rnacentral:lncRNA from 1 species
CUAUUUGUGUAUCUAUCUAUCUCUCUAUCAAUAUUUCUCUCUAUUUUUGUUUAUUUUUCUAUAUAGGUAUGUAUGUUUACGUGUAUGUGUGCAUGCAUGUAUUUAUCCAUCCAUCCGUCUAUCUAGCCAUCCAUUUUUGCGUCCAACUAUCUAUAUGCCCCUAUCUCUUUGUGUCUUUCUCACUCUCUCUCUUUUAAACUUUUUCUACCAAUCUUUCUGUCUUUCUGUCUCUUUUUCUAGAUCUGCCUGUCUGUUUCUCCAUGUAUGUAUGUAGGUAUGUAUGCAUCUAUAAAUCUAUCCAUCCAUUUAUCUGUCUCUUUAUCCCUGUCCAUGUGUCUUAUCAUCUAUCCCUCUAACUAGACAUUCAUUUAUCUUUUUAUCUCUUUCUUUUUACCAAUUGUUCUCUCUUUAUCUUUUUUCUAAUUGUCUGUUUCUUUUUUGUCUUUGUUUAUAUAUGUAUAUAUGAAUCUAUCCAUCUCUCUAUCUCUCUCUCUCUCUUUCUUCCUUCCCUUCUCUUUAUCUAGCUGUUUUUCCAUGUAUGUAUCUAUCCAUCCAUCUUUCUGUCUCUUUCUUUCUACCAAUAUUUCUCUCUCCUUCUUUCUGUCUCUUUCUCUACUUUCUGUGUGUGUGUUUCUCAAUGUACAUAUGUUUGCAUGCAUAUAUCUAUUCAUAUAUACAUACAUCUAUUGGUCCAUCUAUCUGUAUGUCCAUCUCUCUGGCUAUCAAUCCAUCCAUGUAUCAUUGUAUCUAUGCAUCUAUCUAUCUAUCUUUCUACCAUCUCUCUAUUUUUAUAUCUCUUUCUUUCUAGGACUCUCUCUUUCUAGUUGUCUGUCUCUUUUUCUAGAGAUCUGUGUUUGUGUUUCUCUAUGUACAUAUCUUUCAGUGCACUUAUGUAUCUAUCCAUCCAUCCAUCUCUCUAUCAAUCCAAUUGUGCAUCCCACUAUCUGUAUGGACAUCUCUAUUUUUUAACUCUCAAAUCUUUCUCUUUCUUCUUUUUCUGUUUCUUUGUUUAGCUCUGUUUCUCCAUUUAUGUAUACAUGAAUGAAUCUCAAUUUAUCAAUCCAUAAAUCUCUCUGUCUAUGUAUCCAUCUGUCUAUCCGUACAACUGUCUUCCUUUCAUCUAUCCCUCUAUCAAUACAUUCAUCUUUUAUCUCUCUUUCUACCACUCAAUCUCUAUCUUUUUUUCUAAUUGUCUCUUUUUUGUCUCUCUAUGUAUGUAUGUAUGUAUGCAUGAAUGUAUGUAUGAAUUUAUCUAUCAAUCCAUCCAAUCAUGUAUCUAUCCAUCAAUUCCUUUGAGU